UACGUAGGGGGCAAGCGUUGUCCGGAAUCAUUGGGCGUAAAGAGCGUGUAGGCGGCCCGAUAAGUCCGCUGUGAAAGUCCAGGGCUCAACCCUGGGAUGCCGGUGGAUACUGUCGGGCUCGAGUCCGGAAGAGGAGUGUGGAAUUCCGGGUGUAGCGGUGAAAUGCGUAGAUAUCCGGAGGAAUACCAGUGGCGAAGGCGGCUUUCUGGUCUGAUUCUGACGCUGAGGAGCGAAAGCCAGGGGAGCGAACGGG
rnacentral:rRNA from 1 species